GAUAAACGCUGGCGGCGUGCUUAACACAUGCAAGUCGAACGAAGUUUUUCCUUCGGGAGUAACUUAGUGGCGGACGGGUGAGUAACGCGUGGGUAACCUGCCCUGUACAGGGGGACAACAGCUGGAAACGGCUGCUAAUACCGCAUAAGCACUUAGCACUGCAUGGUGCAUAGGGAAAAGGAGCAAUCCGGUACAGGAUGGACCCGCGUCUGAUUAGCCAGUUGGCAGGGUAACGGCCUACCAAAGCGACGAUCAGUAGCCGAUCUGAGAGGAUGUACGGCCACAUUGGGACUGAGACACGGCCCAGACUCCUACGGGAGGCAGCAGUGGGGAAUAUUGCACAAUGGAGGAAACUCUGAUGCAGCGACGCCGCGUGAGUGAAGAAGUAUUUCGGUAUGUAAAGCUCUAUCAGCAGGGAAGAAAAUGACGGUACCUGACUAAGAAGCACCGGCUAAAUACGUG
rnacentral:rRNA from 1 species